rnacentral:rRNA from 1 species
AUUGAACGCUGGCGGCAUGCUUUACACAUGCAAGUCGAACGGUAACAGGCCUUCGGGUGCUGACGAGUGGCGAACGGGUGAGUAAUGCAUCGGAACGUACCCAGAGGUGGGGGAUAACGCAGCGAAAGCUGUGCUAAUACCGCAUGUGAUCUGAGGAUGAAAGCGGGGGACCGAGCAGCAAUGUUUGGCCUCGCGCCUUUGGAGCGGCCGAUGUCGGAUUAGCUAGUUGGGGGGGUAAAGGCCUACCAAGGCGACGAUCCGUAGCUGGUCUGAGAGGACGACCAGCCACACUGGGACUGGGAAAAGGCCCAGAAUCCUACGGGAGGCAGCAGUGGGGAAUUUUGGACAAUGGGCGCAAGCCUGAUCCAGCAAUGCCGCGUGCGGGAAGAAGGCCUUCGGGUUGUAAACCGCUUUUGGCAGGAACGAAACGGUGUCCGCUAAUACCGGGCGCUAAUGACGGUACCUGCAGGAUAAGCACCGGCUAACUACGUG